GAUGAAGAACGCAGCGAAAUGCGAUACGUAAUGUGAAUUGCAAAUUCAGUGAAUCAUCGAGUCUUUGAACGCACAUUGCGCCCCCUGGUAUUCCGGGGGGCAUGCCUGUCCGAGCGUCAUUGCUGCCCUCAAGCACGGCUUGUGUGUUGGGCCCCGUCCUCCGAUCCCGGGGGACGGGCCCGAAAGGCAGCGGCGGCACCGCGUCCGGUCCUCGAGCGUAUGGGGCUUUGUCACCCGCUCUGUAGGCCCGGCCGGCGCUUGCCGAUCAACCCAAAUUUUUAUCCAGGUUGACCUCGGAUCAGGUAGGGAUACCCGCUGAACUUAAGCAUAUCAUAAGCGGAGGA
rnacentral:misc_RNA from 1 species